GACCGAGUGACGUUUAGACCAGAGCUGGACGAUAACGGAUCAAUAUCGGAAACAAUACCGGAUCGCCCCGUCGAGUUGAAGAACUUCCCGAAGCUUUGCGAGCAAAGGAGAAAAUUUCCAGUUCUUUACAAAUUAGAAUUUCAGAUGGCAGUGAAGGUGGAAACGCAUUCUUGCCGUCAUGCAACAAAGAAAACAAAUCUACAUAAAAAUCAAAACCAGAAAGUAUUACCUUACGAUUACAACAGAGUGGUACUGGAUACGGUGGACAGGGAACCGGAUUCCGACUACAUCAAUGCUUCCUAUAUAGAU